rnacentral:lncRNA from 1 species
UCCGUUGUCCUCGUCAACCAAGGCUGUUAUGAACACUUAAUUGCUGCUCCAAAUAGCUAAUGAAUGCCUCUUUCCCAAGAAGAGAAAUCGACAAGAGAUCAAGGGAAUUUUGGAAUGGAAAAGAAGGGAGAAAGUGGAGAGAAGAGAGGAAAGAUGUGAAUGCUUGAGGUGUGUUUUACAAAUGACUAGCCUAAGGUCGGUUUUUA